AGGAGCCAGUGCUGCCCAAGGAGUGGAAAGCAGCCUCAUGCCACCUCCAAAGCCUGCCCCUCGGUUGUGUCAAGCGCUUCCCCCAAGAACUUCUCUCUGCACAUCCCCUCCAGCCCAGGGCAGGCCGAGAGCCAUGAGUCAGGUGUGGAGGCCUGGCUGUUUCCGUGUGUGACUGCUGCCUGUCUGACCCCUCAUCCCACCCAGCUCCGGUCCCCUGGGACUCACCGUCCAGUACAGGACCCUUCCUUAUCUGUCUCUGCAUUGGAGGCACCCUGCACCCGGCACCAGCCUGAACAUUCAUUUUCCAAAUAUUUACAGCUCAUUUGGCAAGGCCCGGAGACAUUUUUGGCUGUCCCAACUUGAGGUGCUCCUAGCACUACGUGGAGUGGGCCCAGGAUCCUCCAGGCCGAGGCCCAGAAUCUACUCAGCACCCUGCAUCACACAGAACAGAAUCCCCAGUCCCCAUUGUCAGCAGAGCCAAGGUGGGAGCUGGCCUAGGGAUGGCCUAAUGGCCACAGCUCAAGUAUUGAAGAUUGUGACUGUGACUUUCCUGUAGCCCCACCCUGACCACAGACUGAACUCUGACGACAGCCCAACACUGAGCCCACACUUGGGUCAGUCUGUUCUCUGGCCCUGCUCCCCUCAUAAGCCAAGAUCAUGGUCACACCCUAAGGCCUGACCCUGGUCACACACUGAGCCCUGGUAUGGUCACACACUGGGUGCUGACUCUGGCCACCCUGACCACAGUUCCUCAUCACUCAUGCUUUAGGCACACACCGAAUGCAGCCCCUGAGACUACACUGAGCCUGGAUCCUCUGGUGGUCCUGCUCCCCGGGAAGGUCUGUCACAGAGGGGCAGGGCUCCCUGCGGCCCCUUGGCAGUGGACAGGGUCUGGUUGUGGCAGCCACAUG